UGUCAUUCCAUUCAUUCAUUUCGAUACUCAGUUACGGGCUAUGGUAGCCGGAGCCUAUCCCGGCAGCACUGGCCAGUCCGUUGUAUUUUUCACCAGCCUUGAUGUGAACCAAACGAUCUAAUUCCACUAGAGGGAGCUGAUGAACGAUAUGAACUCGCCGUAUUCCAUGGUAGAAAAUAAGCGCUCGUCACACACUUUUUUUUCCAGUUCGAAGUGUUGGUUUUCUUUCCACAGCAGCUGUGCGGUCAGUCCAUAAAUGCGUGUCAUUCGUGAAUGUGCGGAGUUGUCCCGCGUUGCUCUUCUGCGGAGUUCUCGCGCAGUGUCCCGCAGACGCGCAGCACCAUGUCCUCAACGAGUUCACUCCCGCGCGGUCAGCUGCCUGGCGCCCCACAGCGUUCGCCUGCCGACUUGAGAACCUGUGCUUCACUGCCUUUUUCAAAGAUUUAAAAUAACACAUUUUUAUACGGUGAUGUAUUGGGUUACACUUCAAAUAAGGCUAUACCUUAUUGGAUAAACCUGGCGAAAAAAAGAGACAUAAACACAAGCAGCGGUCUGCAACCAGUGUGGAGGACAAACGAAGAAGAAUCACAAAAAGCUGAAACUGUUGAAAGACUUCAACAAAAAAAAAGAUCAACUAACUCCCUCUCUUUCCAGUCUUCAGUCAGUGAAAAAUCAGCCAGAAGGUAGAAAGAGUUUCCUGGCAUCUUCCAGAACAAGUGGAAUGAACUUUACUCAUCGCAGACCACAUUCUGAAUAAUAAGGAUGUUUUGGAACUUCAGGAUUCAUCUAUUGAGAAAACAGCCAUAAACUCCAUUGGUCAUGUCCAGACCUUGGCUACAAUCUGAACCUUCUGUCGGGUUGCAGUAUGCUGCAGAGCUUUACAAGGCUCACAUUUCUUAUCAGUAAGAGGGUGGUGUGAUGAAGUUCUUUCUUCUUUCCCAGUCCCCCCACCCCCUUUGCCUUUAGUAUUCUGGUAAGGAUUGGCCAAAAGAGAGAAAACAGCAUUGCAAAAAUACUAAAGAGAAGGGCGAUUUUAAUUUACACUUGAAGGCCAACUAAUAAUUAUACAGUAUCUAUAAGACUGUUAGAUGGUUAUCACAGUGCAUUCUAGCAGCAGCUUUUCUUCUCAAUUAAAGAAGGCUGGGGCUGAAAUGGAUGAAAACUAAAUGAAGUCAUUAGAAAUGCCAUAACGUUUGUCUUAUGUUUGAGUAACAUGAAUGUCUUAAUUGAAAGGGCACUUGUGCAUGUAAAAUACGUUUUGCUCAGUGUUUCAAGUCUCAAUUAGGAUUCUUUUAGCCAUUUUUGGACUCUAUAGCCCAAAAUGAGCCAGCUGUUUGAAUGAGGAGUUCAACUAAAGACCCUAAUUUUACUGCUGGUAAGAACUUGCAUGCAGGGAUAACUAAGCACCAAACUGAGUUUUCAAGGGCAGUGUCAAAUUCCUGAAAGAAAAGUGAGAUGUGGGCUGCAGUGCUCCUUCAGAAUUGCACAGUUUGUGGGAGGCUUGUCAGCCUAAGAUGAGUUGAGCCUCCACCCUUGUUGGAGGUCGAUGGGCUGGGAAGGGAAUUUGCACAAGCAAAGUAUUAAUGUUUCAGAAUUAGAGAAGAUAGGAUGGCAUGUUAAAUGUUUGUGUAUUUUAUAUAAAAUAUCUCAUAAUACUUGUCAAAGAAUAAGAUGUUGGAGAUGGUCAGGCUAGGAAGUCCUGCAGGUAAGUCCACAAGUGCACGUGUGCUAUCAUUCAUAUUCUUUACAAGUUAACUUAAUUUUUGCUUAACCCCUCCAGACGAUUCAGACACUUGAUAUGCCCUUGUCUAGGCUCAAGAAUUUGGAGGAAAAGCCACACGACUGCAGGGCAGAGGACAAAUGACACGUCCGUUCUUGAACUAUUUAAAUCUAUAGUACAUUAGGGGGUUUCAGUGAGUAGCAAAGUCUGUGUUUCAGGUGAUGUUUCCUGUCCCUACUUUGUGUGUUUUUUCUUCAUAGGUCAACAAAGCAUUCCAUGGAAAGCAAUGUGACACGAGCAAAAAAACUCGAGUGUACUGUAUUCUGACACUUCUGGAGACUAGGAAAGUUCAGACUGCCUUAAAAAUCAUGUGUGUGCUGUUGGUCCUUUUUUGUGUGUGAUUACAUUUUAUCUCUUGUGUAUCCUUGGUUUUAGCCAUUUAAAAGGCUUUGUCUGAAAGAUAGGUUUGCAGAAACACAACCAUCAAACCACGCAGCUGAUGCAGACAGCUUGACAACUUUUACGUGUUACAGUAGUUAUUUGGAUGAGACAUUGGGACAUCUUAACUGUUAGCUUAAAAAAAAACAAAAAACCCAAGCUUGAUUGACUGAAUGGUCUCCUCUCGUUUGUCAGAUUUAUGUUCUCGACUACAGUGCAGCAGUGUGACACUUAACACUGCUGCCUCUCCGCUCACAGGUUGAUUUAUGGCCUUCCUAGUGCUUGCAUAUUUUCCUGAUGUACAUUUAAGUUUUCUCCAAGUACUCCACAACAGUAAGAUGCGGUAGUUUGACAGGUGACCGGUACUUUGCCUGGUGUGAGUGAGAGUGCCUAGCGCUCAUACCACAUUAUGCUAUACUUACCUUUGUUGUGGAAAGAGUAGAUGAAGAUAAUGCGGUUCAUCCUGUGCUACAGCCCCUUCAAACUGCGACAGGUUUGUCGAACGGUUUGCUCAUGUUUUCAGGUACAAGUCCAUGAUGCUGUCAGAGAAACCGACGUGCGAUUUGUCAGAGCGUUAAUGUGACCUCUGUUUGCAAACCGCAAACUUCAGUUAAUCAGUAUAGAACGGGUCAUAAGUUUAGGGUGUCUAAACACACUUUUAACUUGUUGAAGGAGGUGAACUGUUGGUAGCUGUAAAUUGAUAGUUGUGACUUAAGCUGCAUUUAUUCUCAUGUUGGGCUCCUCUUGUUCAUUUUACUGCUCCAGCACUGUGCCGGAAGGACAAGACUGGAGGUCAUAAUACGGAGGGGCAGCCAGAACUUGUUAAAAUGUGCCGAUUAUUUACAUUGGAGGGAGUUCUAGACUUAACAGGGAAUUGGGGAUGUUAAGCCCAUCACCACAGUAAGUUGCUGCAAAAUGUGAGCCUGCUGUUGUCAAUCUGUACCUCAGCAGGAGGACAUAUUGGAGUUUGUUAUACAGUUGGCUGGCUAUACCUGUGUUGGUCGAUGCCCACCAAGACUACUCUAACGCCAUGGAGGUUCGAUUUAUGGGCUUGAAGCCACUGGGUGGGGCCAAAUCAAGAAAGGGAAAAUUUAAUACUGGACUAAAGCUGCAAAAGUCCAACUAGUUUUGAUACAUUUUAUCAAGUAUAUGUCAUAGCUAUAUUUUUUAUUUGGCUUCCUGAAAUUAAGAAAUGUUCUUACUGUGUUGAAUAUUGUCUGCUCUUAAGGUAAGUAAUAUUAUUGCACAUUUACAGUAUAAUAAAUAUUACUGUUAAAAGUCUUGGUAAUAUUUGCACCAAAAGAACAUGUUACAAUUAAAUUGUGUUAUGACUGUGUGACGGCUGCUUAAUGAUGACGUCUUUGGCUGUGGCCUUGAUUGGUGGACAUGUGAGGGAAAAUCAGGUCCCCUUUUGUUUGCUGCCCAGUUAUCACCACUGCCGUCAUCACUCCAAGCGGAACACAGUUACUGUAUCACAGUGCAGUGUCACAAACCUCAUCAUGUAUGCACACAGUAACUUUCAAACAGUAAAAAUGAUGACUUUCUUGUCUUAGGUUUUGUUGAAGAUGCUGGAAAAGCAUCAAGGACAGAAUGAUGAUUUGCAUUUGCCCAGACCCUCGCAUAUUUUAGCCUUGGUCGCUCUUUAUCCUUCUAUGCUUUGAGCAGAGAACCUGUAGACAUGGAGCGGUUACACCUUUUCCUUAGUUGUUUUGGUUUUUUUGCAGUAAUUGAAAGAUUUUCAGUUUCAUUAGCUUUAUUUUAAUGCAGUGAUGUUUUAGCUCGUGCCAUAAUUAUAAUUAUAGACAUAAAUGGGCAGUUUACUCAACUUUCAGAAGUUAAUGUUAAUCCUGAAACUUCUAUAAAUUAUAUCAGUUAACCAUUCUGCAAACAUAACACAACAAAAUGUGAACACAUUAAAAACUUGGCUUCCUUAGAGGACUGCCAGCAUGGAAUGAAGUAAUCCACAUCCUGAUCACAAGCAAGCCGUUGGUCCAAAGUGUGUAGUGAGUACCCACAUCUGAACUCUUGUGUUCUCUACACCACACUACAGCAGGCAUGGUGGGGAAACAGCACAGGUCGGAGUACAGAAUGGCAAAGUCCAACUUUUUAGCUAAAACUUUUUUUUUAAUUAAAGACACAGUGAACGGUUGAUUAUGCGGGGGAAAAACGCAGAAGUGUCAAAUAAAACCCACUUGGUUUCAGCACAUUGGAUUAGUUUGCUUUCUACUGUCUCAUAAAUCAAAAAUACUGUCCUACCCACCCCUCUAACUCUUCUCUCCUCACAUCUGGUCCAGUACCUUCCUACUUUUUGCUCCCAUUCACCUCCUAAGUAGCCUCCAUUUGGAGGUUGUUUCCAUGACAGCCAGAAACACAUCUGGACCAAUAGAUGUUCUCUAAAGGCCCAGGGUCCAUCUCGCCAGUUUCUCCUCUGGAAGCACCAGGUGUCCAUGCUCUCCCAGUUUACAAUUGAAGGGUCAGACUGCCAUGAUGGCUGCCAGUCCUUUAAGGUAUUUUUGAGGGAAAUCUCCACUGCCUACCAUGACAUUAGUGCCCUGGGAUUGGCUCCAGCAGACCCCCGUGACCCUGUGUUCGGAUUCAGCGGGUUGGAUAAUGGAUGGAUGGGACCACAGCUAACAUGGACACAAAUGUUCAUAUAUUAUCAGUUUCAAAAGGAAACUGAUCAGCAAAGUGUAAAGAGCUGAGAAAUACUGAUCUGCUUGGCUACACAAAACAUUUACGACACACACCCAGAAAAAGGAAUUCAGAAAUCCCAGAAUGAGUGUAUGACGCUUAGAUUUUAAUCAUGUGUUUAAUUAGUAGCCAAAUAAAUAAUUAGGGAACAAAACAAAAAAAACAACUCUAGUCUUGUAGGUAAGCAAGUUGGAGACUGCUGGUGCAUGGCAUAUCACCUGGUGGCCAUUUCCCCAUACUGGAAACUGAUCGAUGCCCCAGUUAGAAGUGUGUCUUCUCCUUUUUAAAUCCACCCAGCCACUCCUCUCAUGACAUCUGAGGUACCCACAAAUAUUCCUGAUCUGUAUUACUUUAGCAGACUAUGGAAACAAAAUUUUGAAAUCUAUUAUCAUGAAUCACAGAAGCACUGAUAAAAUAAAUCUCGGAGCCCUUGUCCAGGUCAUUAAUGAUAGGUGUAUUUAAACACAUCGGUGGAGAUUUGGAUAUGUGUAUUCAGAAUGGGAACAUUUCAUCAUGCAUUGGCAAUCUGUAAUGAACUGGCAGCAGUGGAGCUGAAAUAAAGGAUAGGCAAUGGGAGAAGUUGGUCCUUGGCAAGCCUAGUGAUUCCCUGAAAGGUCGCAUCUUAUUUUUUUUUAGUUUUGUAAGUUGGUAUUUUAAGACACGCUGGUAGUUUUUAGCACAUGAAAUUUUCCUCAGGUCAAAGAUCGUUACUGUGGUAUUCUGGAGUUUAGCCUUUUCUAUUUUGCUUCAAAUUACUAUUUCUAUUAUCAUCUGUAUCCAAGUUGACUUACAACAUUUCAAAAAUACAAUUUGUUAUAUUUCU